rnacentral:lncRNA from 1 species
UCGUACUGGCAUACCAAUUAAGUGUACAUUGCCUACAACAUGUACCUUAAUAAUUUACAUCAAGUUUGUCUAUACAUCUCAAAAAGAAGACUCGAUUUCCAGCGAAGGGACUCGGGCGAAUGUAUAGCUACUAAAUGCCGAGACACCUACCAAAAGAUGGAUAUAAGUCUACAAGGACACCUCAUCCUAGUUACCAGCUGCCUCGUGAUCUGAAAACAUGAAGUUGAAAACGGUGAGUAUAAACCCAGUGAGUGAACAAGGAAGGGAACAAGCAACAAAAAUGGAGAAUUUAAAAUCAUGAUGCACUUGUUUCAAAAUAAUGCAAUUUAGUUCCAUUCAUAUUAAAAACCCAUCAUCAAGUCCUUAAAUGAUUUAUCAUUUGAAAAUCAUGAACCCAUGCAUAACGAACCAUUUGAAGAAUGAAAACUUCAAUAUUACACAAGCAAGUCAAAUACGAUAACGAAUCUUUGCUGCAGCGAGAAUGAAUUUUCGUUUUAGCGACGUUGGGAUUUAGUUAUUAGCCGAACGAGGGUUUCUCAACUAGCCGAAGGUUUCUCACUAAACCUCUUUAUUUUAAACUUAACUCAUUUAGUCCUUAAUGUUGGAAGUCCAUACUCAGAUAUGGUAGCAAAAAAGUGAAAAAUAGAGCAGCAAAUGGACAAGAUAGGAGGCAAAACAGAAAGUUUUUUGCUACAGCAAGAUUGAAUCUCGCUGCAGCGAAAUUGUAACCCAAAAACAGAAGGUUUCUCGCUGCAGUGAAAUUCAGCUGAUGAAACAUAGAGUUUCUCGCUGCAGUGAGAUUCCUUUUCGCUACAGCGAGAAGCUAUAGUGACUAUCUCGCUGCAGCGAGAACCAGUUCUGGUGAAGGCUCUCAAACCCAAGAGUUUCUCGUUGCAGCGAGAAUGAUUCUCCCUACAGCGAGAUACAGAGCAUCAAUGAAAAAUUUGCCUUUCUCCCAAAGAAAAACCACCUUGCUGAAAUGUCCAAACCAACAUGAAAUGCAUGAUAAUUUUCCAAAGUUUAACAUGUCAAGUUUCACAUGCAUUAUAACCAUAUACCAUUACUCAUUAAUUUCCUAUAACACACAUAUUUACAUAUGUAUAUAUGUAUACGUAUACCCAUCAUCAUCAUACACACCAUCCCAUCAUCAUCAUCACCAGCUCAUGGGCACUUCCUACUCGCACAUGGCUGGGUCAUCACUGGGUUAUGCACACCCCUUACUCCACAUAACCGGGUCAUCCUCGGCUUAUGUGCACUCCCUACUUGCACAUAGCCGAGUAAUGUCAUUACACAACAAUUUAUUCAUAUAUAUAUAUCAACACAAUUUGGUAGUGCAUGAAUCAAUAAUAGUCACAUGUCACAACAUAAGCCAUUUCUCAAGAGCUUGUUCCCAAGGCACUCAUUUUUAAGAAAAAUUGUAUAAAAUCAUUCAAACACUUUGUACAAAACAGUCACAUUCCUAAAAUAGUUUUGAUAGGCAGUCCACUCACUGAUUUAUUAUUGAGCCUUUAGUUGACUCUAAUUCCCCUAAUGAUCCAAUUGGAAGGAUGGGACUUCAUUAGAACCUAGGAUCACAUUAGCAUAAGCAAUAGGUCAAUUCACACGUUAUGAACCCUAAAAGCUAUGUCUUAGCUAGCUUUCAAUUGCCACAUUAAAUGGCUAUCUAUGUUCACUAUCUUAAUCACUAAAAAAGUAAUGAACAUACUCAACAAUAAAACAGCUCAUAAUCCCAAUUACUAGCCAUUAUUCACAGCUAAAAAUCAAGCUUAGUUCAUCACUUACCUUAGGGCUCCUUUGUAGUCGAAUUCUCUUCCAAUAGCUUCAAAAUCAAUGGGGUAAUUCUCUCUUUCUCUCUCUAGAACGCCCAACUAGUGAGAGAAGGUAUAGAAAUAAGAUUUAUCAAGGGUUUUGAAGUGAGAGAUUGAAAGUAUAUAAGGGUUCUAGUCAAAAAGGCUCAAAAGUAUGAAAACUAGAGCUAGAGAGAGAAAAUUAUGCAAGCUCCAUAUCAAACUUCCAUGGAGGUUUUAAAGAAAUGUGAAAGGGAAGAAGGAGAAGAAGACAAGCUACUGGAAAUUCAAGAAGUUACUGGAAAUUCAAGAUAUUUUAUAGCCAAACUUAUCCACUCCACUUAAAUUACCAAAUUGUCCCUCCACAAUUUAGCUUAUUCUCUUAUAAUCUUUUAUGCAAUAUUUUUACUCUUUUGACACUGGGAUAAGGUCCAUAAUGGUCUAGACAUGCUCGGGUUCAUGAAAACUUAAAAUUUUAACUUGAGGUGAAAAAUGACCAUUUUGCCCCUAUCGUGAAAAUCGUCAAAAUUUUGGUUUCCUUUCCAUUUUACCCUUAAUUUCACCAAAAACACUAAAAUACAUUGAAAUCUAACCAAAUCAAGCAUCAAAACCUCUCUCUAAGUGUUUAGCCUGCAAGAUACCCAUCAUGAAAUGAUGUGAUUCAACCAUGGAAAAUGCAAAAGAAUGAUUGGGAAAGGUAGAUCACAAGUCAAAAUCAAGAAAUUUUACCUUUGAUUGCUUGAUUACUUGAAAUCCACCAAUUUUCUCUUGAAUUUUCACCCUAGGGUUCUUGUUCUUUCUUUUCUUCCUUUGUUCUUGCUUUGGC